ACUAAAGCAGCCCCUGCCAGUGUCAUGACCCAAAUGAGAGCCUGGCCAGACUGCCCAGGGCUAGCUUCUCCAUUCCUCUCACAAGUCCAGUUUUGACAGGUUGUCAGAUUACUUUCAAAAAGGAGAUAAUCUUUCUCCAAAGGGUCAGUUGCUAAAUAUCCAAAAGAGAAGCCAUACAAGCAGGAUGGUUCCCAGAUUUCCUGGAAGCCGCAUACCCUGUGUCCACACCUGCUUUAACUCGGGUCCUCUCGUGGCAGGACUCCCACUGGAAUAGAAGCUUUCUGAGAGGUUCUGAUCGCCCUUAAGAAGCUCUGUGUGGCUGGAGGAUCGAAAACUUUGGGCACAAGCUGGAAGGUCAUUUACUGCAAACCACUAUCUCCCAGCUAAUCUUUGCCUCAUCUAUCAGAAACUUCUCCUCCCAACAUAAAUACUAACAACUCAAUAGCCAACACCAGGCUGCAUAUUUCCUCUGCAGGCCCUGAAAUAUUAAAGAUGAAGAAACCAAAGUGCAGAGAAGUUUCAAAAUUUGCCUAAGGACAUAGCUAAUGAAUAGCAGGGCUAGGAUUAUGAACCGAGAUAUUCUGGGUCCACAGUCCCUGCCUGUAACCACUAUUCAACUCUGCCUUUACUAGGAACAUGGCAAGUUACUCAUAGAAUCCUAAAACUGUUACAGCUCCUUGAACAUCAUCUAAACUAAUUUUACAAAUAAAAAGACUGAGGCCAGAGAGAGGAAGUGAUUGGCUGAAAGUAACCCAGCAGGAUGGCUCUCCAACCCCAGAUCCUGACUUCACCCACCUCUGCGUGAGCAUGUUAGGGUCUGGAGCAUCUCUGCUGGAGACUGGUCCUGCCUAGUGCAGGCCCCCUCUUGAAAAUACACAGAAUUCUGGAUGUUGCAUACAUGGGAAAUUGUGAACAUGGAGCUCAGAGCUCAGCUUGCAAGAAAGAAGGGGAUGUCCCAAUGCCAGAUACAGAGAUAGUUGGAAAUAUGAGUGGGAAACUCCCAAGCAGAUGCCAGGAUAGCUGCAGCUUUUGUGAAUCACUAAAAACAGUCUUCGAGUUAUCUGGAAUUUAUUUUAGUGCAAGAUGUACAAUGAAUCAUACUCAUUUUUGAAAACCAAUUGCCCCAACACCAUUUGUUAAACUAUCUGGAACCCAUGUAUAUUACUCUACUAAUGAUGUACUCAAAAACUGGAAAAAUGGUGACCACUAUUAGUCGCUCCUAAUUAGAUUCUACAUCACCAUGGUGAUUCUGCUUUUCCGAGGAAAAGACAAAGAAAAUCUGUUUGGUAGGUCUGGGAUAAGAUAAUAUUUUCAUAUAUUAGCUGUAUUUUUUUUUAGCUAUUUCAUUAUUUUCCGUGAUACCUCUUCCUCAUCCAACCAGAUUGUUAAGUAAGGUUGGCUGCAGAAGAAAAGAGGAAAAAAGGUUUUUUUAACUUGUGGUAAAAUAUUCAUAACAUAAAAUUUACCAUUUUACCCAUUUUUAAGUGUACAGCUCUAUGGCAUUAAGUACUUUCACAUUGUUGUGCAAAAGUUCUCCAGAACAUGCUCAUCUUCCCAAACCAAAACUGUGUAACCAUUAAAGAUGAACUCCCCAUUCCCUUCCCCAACUGGCAGCCGCCAUUCUACUGUCUGUCUUAUGCAUUUGACCACUCUAGGUACUUCGUGGAAGUGGAAUCAUAUAAUAUUUGUCCUUUUAUAUGUGGCUCAUUUAACUUAGCAUAAUGUUUUCAAGAGUCAUCUAUGUUGUAGCAUCU
rnacentral:lncRNA from 10 species